UGUUUGCAGAAUUACGGACUUGCGCCGUCCCAACCACUUUUUCUUAAUAUGAAGAACAUUUUGUUCAAUGAAAAGGUUUCCAUGGUUGUUAAAUGUUCUUCAAGGAACCAUCAAUGCCAAAAAGAAGCUUUAUUUUUAAGAAUGAGAGACUUGAGGAAACAUGAGGCAGAAGAUUCAGGGGCACAGAUCCAGUUUCAGGAAGCUCUUAAGCUGUGGGUGCAUUGAGCGCAAGCUGCCAGGGUCAACCCUUCACACCUACAGGCCUACAGGCCUAAAGACUGUCCAUCUGCUGACCCAUUAGGAGGUUACCAUGUCAAACUGAGACCCUUCAUUCGCCUGCACUGCGUCAGGUGUGGUACACCGGUGCUCAGAUACACCACCAACAACAGAUGGGAGAAAAGGACCAGAUUAUCCUGAUCUCCUCAGGAUUGUGUUAUUCUUCUGGAUUGAUUGGUCUCCACACCACCAUCCCUUUGAUUUCACCACAGAAAGGGCUUCUGUGAGAGCCUCGUGCUCUCUGUGAGGAUGAGUAAUGUGCUUUAAGAGGCGUGAGGGGUCUGAAUAAAGCCCGGGGCAGAGGGGAUACUGCCAGCGGGGAGGAGAGCAGGAGGUGAGGAUCCUGUGGGCUCCAUUAGUGAGCAAGAGCUGUGGCUCUUUGUUGGAGCUCUGGGCAAGAGGACGGGAGUCUCUGUGGGAGUCUCACUGCACUAGACACGCCAAUGGAAGACUCAUGCAAUAAAACACAAUAAACAACCCACUCCACAGGCAUUAUGGGCUGACGUGUGGAAUAACAACAGCUUAAUGCUUGACAAUGUAUUGAUCUUUGGCACUGACAGCCUGCAUUACAUAAAUCAAAAGCAAGAGUUCCUGUAUCAUUUUGUCAGAUGUUGUUGUUGUGUGUCGGAUUAGCAGGUCAGCACAUGGAUUACGAACCUGAAGAACUCGAGAGAAAACUCUCUGCAGAAGUGGAACGGUUGUCAUUCACAAAUUUUGCAGUCACCUUCGCAUGUUCAUUUAUUAAAAAUAUUGAUUCAUUUGAUAAUGCUUGUAGUUUCAGCACGACUGUAACACUCUCUGCAUAAGAGUGUGAACACAUUUACCGUUGUAAGGCAAAAUUCUGCUGGUGCAUUAGGAAUCUGAUGGGUUUGGGCAUUUUUAGUGAUGGACGUGUUCCCCACACAUUUGGUUAACUUUGGACAGAAAAUGACCAACAAAAAACGACUUAGUUUGGAAAUGACCUGAGUAAGCGGUGCUUCAUGCA
ensembl:lncRNA